GCGGACGUGGCGGAACUGGCAGACGCGCUAGACUAAGGAUCUAGUGGGGCAACCCGUGGAGGUUCGAGUCCUCUCGUCCGCA
rnacentral:tRNA from 1 species